rnacentral:rRNA from 1 species
UACGUAGGCGGAUCAGAAAGUAUGGGGUGAAAUCCCAGGGCUCAACCCUGGAACUGCCUCAUAAACUCCUGGUCUUGAGUUCGAGAGAGGUGAGUGGAACUCCGAGUGUAGAGGUGAAAUUCGUAGAUAUUCGGAAGAACACCAGUGGCGAAGGCGGCUCACUGGCUCGAUACUGACGCUGAGGUACGAAAGUGUGGGGAGCAAACAGGAUUAGAUACCCUGGUAGUCC